rnacentral:rRNA from 1 species
AUACGGAGGAUGCGAGCGUUAUCCGGAUUUAUUGGGUUUAAAGGGUGCGUAGGCUGUGCGUUAAGUCAGGGGUGAAAUGCCGUCGCUCAACGACGGAGCUGCCCUUGAUACUGGCGUGCUGGAGUACGGAUGCCGUUGGAGGAAUGAGUGGUGUAGCGGUGAAAUGCUUAGAUAUCACUCAGAACACCGAUUGCGAAGGCAUCUGACGAAUCCGUCACUGACGCUGAGGCACGAAAGCGUGGGGAUAGAACAGGAUUAGAUACCCUGGUAUUCCACGCCGUAAACGAUGAUGACUAACCGUCGGCGAUAGACAGCCGGUGGCCAAGCGAAAGCGAUAAGUCAUCCACCUGGGGAGUACGGCGGCAACGAUGAAACUCAAAGGAAUUGACGGGG